UUUCCUCCAACAACAAAAAAAAAUUAUGCUCACACGGUAACAACGCGGAUGAAACUAAGGAACAAGCUUUAAAUCAACAAAACAAAAACAAAAAAGAAGCAAGGAAGAUGCAAAGAAACUUACAUGGAAUGGAAAUAGCAAGGAAUGUUCGUGAAAAAAUCUAUAUAAGCAUGUUUUGUGUCCUCUCCACUCAUGAUUCAACAAAAAAAUUUCAUUUCUACUUUCACAAACAAUAACAUAGAUAGGCCAGACAGAGAAGUAUAAAAUCUUUGACACCACUGCUUGUCAUUCAAAAUUAAAGGAAAAACAAAACAAUAACCAUGCUCACUCUUGCAAGCCUUGGUUGGUACUUGGUAGAACAAGGCAUUCCACAGGGUAACCCAGAGGCAUUGCUAGUGUGGUCUACAUUUGAUUCAGAGUGAGGAUUUAAACUAUAAAUACUCUGUUACUUAUCUAUCCACAAAUUGUUUAUUGUUUAUUGAUAUUUUGUCAUUUUUAAAGUUCAAUGUAACACUAAUAUUAUUUUAUUAAUAACGUUCUUAAUUAUUUAUUGUACAUAGAAUGUGAGCUGAUAAAUAAUAAAAAAAAAAAAAACUUUACAUUACAGAAAAAUGACAAACAAUUUUAUCAAAAAUAAUAAAAUUUAGGUUUAAGUAUGCAGAUGUUUAUUUUUGUCUAUGUAAAAGAAAUCUUAUGUUUUUAGUCAUAUAAAUAUGUAACUUUUCCAUUUGAUCUUUGUUGUUAUGUUUAAAUCCUUACAAGAUUGAUUCAUAUUGAAAUCGAUCUUUUGUAACAUCUAGAAUAUUUGAUUUUAGUCUCUUUAAAUAAAGACUAAAAUGGAUAUUAUAAGAAGUAAUUUCAACGCGAACAAAUUUUGUUGAGACAAACGCUAAUGACAUAAACAAAAGAUUGCAAACUCGCAAGGACUAAAAAAAUGAUUUGUAGGCAUUGAUUAAAAACUUAUUUAAACCUAAAAUUUAUUCGAUUUUUAUCAAGUGUAAAUAGCCUUUAAAAUGAGUAUAAUAUGCAUUUGUUUCGUCAAUUCUUUAUGGAUAGUGUCUUUAUUCACCUCUGUUAUUGUUCGUGUAUGUAAACAUGAAUUACAAUAGAUGAGCUAUUCAGUGGAGCUUCCUAUGAGGAGCUCUAAGAAUACUCUAAAAUGACUAAGGUGAAAACACAAUGGUUAAGCUAGAAUGAAUCCAUUUACUUCUCUCUAGGUGUCUCCUUUUGUAGGCCCCACUUUCUUGACCUAAUGGGCCUCUUUGUUCUGGCCCAUUAACCCUCUAAGGUCCAUAUGACUCAUUUAUACCAGGCGCGUGGAGCUGAUCAUGUUUCAUGCUCAUUCGUACAAGGUGCUUGGAGUCAAGGGUAGACAACUCAUGUCACUUGUCCGUGCAAGAUGGGUGGCACGUUAUGAGAUACCUUCAAGAGGAGGACCACAAUGUUGCUUGGACAACAACCUGAGAGAGAGCUAGUGAUGUUGAAAGUGGAGCUAAUGUGACCUGAAUGAUCAAGCUGAGCAGGUGGAGCUCAAGUGACCUGAACGAUCAAGCUGAGCUGAGCAGGUGGAGCUCACGUGACCUGAAUGAUCAAAUCGAGCUAAGCAUAUGGAGCUCAUGUGACCUGAACGAUCAAACCGAGCUUAGCAUAUGGUAUAGUCAAUGUAUAGGAGAGUCCACGUGGUAUGGUUUUCCAUACCAAUCCAAUUAUGAAUUGGUUCUUUUGCACCAAGAUUCAUUCAAAAUACUUACAAAAAUCAUAUCUUUAUUUUGGAUUGCGAUUCUCUCCCUUGAGAUUUUCACUGGAGGGAGUCCGGUGAAAAUCUGCACGGUUUAAAUUCUUCUCAAUUAACUUUGAUCGCAUGUGGAAAAUCAAUGAAUCUAAGAUCUCAUUGUAGAAAAAUAUCACUAGCGAGGAUUUAUUCCCCUUUUUUUUUUCUCACUUUUGACAAACUUCACGAUACACCAAAUGUUGAAAGAAACUUCAGGAACCAAUAUCUUCAAAAGCCACUAUUUGUUCGAUAUUCAAUUCAAGGGAUAGAAAUCAACAAGUGUAGCAAAACAUGAAGGUUCAUUUGUGUUAUAAAAAAAUGUGCUGAGAAUAUUUCACUUGCAUUUAUAGUGAAAUCACUUGCAUUUACGAGCACAUAUAUGGUAAUCUCUUUAAACACAUACUCCCUCCGUUUUUUAAUAUAAGCAAAUUUUGAUUUUUAGGUUCAUUCAAUCAAUGAUGUAUGUGGUCUAUAAUAAACCACAUACAUCAUUGAUUGAAUGAACCUAAAAAUCAAAUUUUGUUUAUCUUAAAAAAUAGAGGGAGUACUUAUAAACCGGAGACAAGAACAUUAAAAAUCUUGGUAAUAACACUAAUUUAUAAUCACCAGUGAAAUGAAUGAACAACGCAUGCAGUGCAACAAGCAGGGGCGGUUCUAAGGCCCGGCGACCCCGGGCACUCGCCCGGGCUCCAGGCCAAAUUUUUUGCAAUUUCUUUUGUAAAUUCCUAUGAAUUUCUUAUAUAAACCCCUAUAAAUUGGGCAAUUUUUUUAUAUUUUUUAUUAUUUGCUUGCAAUUUCUUAUGUACGCCCUAUAAAUGUGUUGCAAAAUUUUUUUUUGCCCGAGCUUUACAAUAUUCCUAGCUCCGCCACUGACAACAAGAUUCACAUAAUAAGACCGUGGAAUAUAACAACAAUGAGGAACUAAUAGAAAAAAACAUGAUAUGCUGAUGGAAUAUUCUUGAUAGAGUUGUGCCUUUAUUUUUCUCAUUUUUCAUGUAGAAAUAGUGACAAGUGGCUUGGGGUCAAAUGUACUAUUCAUUGUUCUAUGUACGGCAUAUUUAGGGUUAUUGAUUAGUUGAAUUAGUGUGGUUAAUUUGAUGGAUUAUUGAGAACCUUUUGCCUUUUGUUAGGCACCAAUUCGCCAGCAUCUCUUUCAGACAUGAUUGCAGAGUCAUAUGUUGCAGAGGUCAUUCCAUGGGAAGUAAUAGAGCGAAAAAAUGAGGUGAGCGACUAAUCCGACUCAUGCGUAUAGGCAUGCGCACUGGCCAAGUGUUGUUCUCCCUAGGAAUCGAAUCCGGUAUUCCUUGGGUACAUCCUUAAAAGGAGCUCCUUGCAACUGGAGCCCAAACAACUUGGUUAUAGGUUCCUUUGAAGGUUUCCAUUCUAGCUUGGCGUUUGAUUCGGGAUAGGCUUCCAACUAAAGCCAAUCUAGUGAGGCGUCGGUGUCUGGCAGUCGAGGCAGCUGGGUGUGUGGUUGGAUGCGGUAUUGCAGAAACCGCAAAUCACUUGUUCCUUCAUUGUGCUACUUUUGGCGCAGUUUGGCAGCAUAUCCGUGCGUGGAUUGGCGUGUCCGGAGCUGAUCCCCAUGAUCUUAGUGACCACUUUAUUCAGUUUAUUACUUGUACAGGUCAUACGAGGGCGCGUAGAUCCUUUAUGCAGCUCAUUUGGUUACUUUGUGUGUGGAUGGUUUGGAAUGAACGCAACAACAGACUUUUUAAUAAUACCCAAACAUCCAUUGAAGGCGUAUCAUAAAAAGUAAAAUUACACUCGUUAUGGUGACUAAAAGCUAGUAAAGUCACAUUUGUGUACGGUUCUCAAAGGUGGUGGUCGGCUCCUAUGCUUUGUUUAGGUAUCGACGCACCCGGUUUAGUGUAAUUACUACAUUUGUUUGACUCUUUGAGGGGUGACUUCUUAGUACAUCUUGUACUUAGGAGGUUUUACCACCUUUGUUAAUAUAUACCAUUUUUGUUUCUUCAAAAAAAAAAAAAAA